rnacentral:rRNA from 1 species
GCCGCGUGAGUGAAGAAGGCCUUCGGGUUGUAAAGCUCUUUUGUCAGGGAAGAAACGGUGAUCUCUAAUAUAGAUUGCUAAUGACGGUACCUGAAGAAUAAGCACCGGCUAACUACGUGCCAGCAGCCGCGGUAAUACGUAGGGUGCAAGCGUUAAUCGGAAUUACUGGGCGUAAAGCGUGCGCAGGCGGUUAUAUAAGUCAGAUGUGAAAUCCCCGGGCUCAACCUGGGAACUGCAUUUGAGACUGUAUGGCUAGAGUGUGUCAGAGGGGGGUAGAAUUCCACGUGUAGCAGUGAAAUGCGUAGAUAUGUGGAGGAAUACCGAUGGCGAAGGCAGCCCCCUGGGAUAACACUGACGCUCAUGCACGAAAGCGUGGGGAGCAAACAGGAUUAGAUACCCUGGUAGUCCACGCCCUAAACGAUGUCUACUAGUUGUUGGGUCUUAAUUGACUUAGUAACGCAGCUAACGCGUGAAGUAGACCGCCUGGGGAGUACGGUCGCAAGAUUAAAACUCAAAGGAAUUGACGGGGACCCGCACAAGCGGUGGAUGAUGUGGAUUAAUUCGAUGCAACGCGAAAAACCUUACCUACCCUUGACAUGUACAGAAUGCCGAAGAGAUUUGG